rnacentral:rRNA from 1 species
AUUGAACGCUGGCGGCAUGCCUUACACAUGCAAGUCGAACGGUAACGCGGGGCAACCUGGCGACGAGUGGCGAACGGGUGAGUAAUGCAUCGGAACGUGCCCAGAAGUGGGGGAUAGCCCGGCGAAAGCCGGAUUAGUACCGCAUGAGACCUGAGGGUGAAAGCGGGGGAUCGCAAGACCUCGCGCUUUUGGAAGCGCCGAUGUCAGAUUAGCUAGUUGGUGGGGGAAAGGCCUACCAAGGCGACGAUCUGUAGCUGGUCUGAGAGGACGACCAGCCACACUGGGACUGAGACACGGCCCAGACUCCUACGGGAGGCAGCAGUGGGGAAUUUUGGACAAUGGGCGCAAGCCUGAUCCAGCCAUGCCGCGUGCGGGAAGAAGGCCUUCGGGUUGUAAACCGCUUUUGUCAGGGAAGAAACGCUCUGGGCUAAUACCCUGGGGUAAUGACGGUACCUGAAGAAUAAGCACCGGCUAACUACGUGCCAGCCGCCGCCGUAA